rnacentral:pre_miRNA from 1 species
UUAACUCAAAUUUGUAUGGAGUUGGAACGUUUGCCUACGUUUGCCGCUAGGGGCGCUGUUCCAACUGCAUACAAAAUUGGCUUA